rnacentral:rRNA from 1 species
GCUUGUCUCAAAGAUUAAGCCAUGCAUGUCUAAGAAUAAGCCCUUUGAACGGCGAAUCUGCGAAUGGCUCAUUACAUCAGUUAUUGUUUAUUUGAUGGUACCUUAAGCCUUGAAUGGCUGGGCUACUUGGAUAACCGUAGUAAUUCUAGAGCUAAUACAUGCUACACCAAUCCCUGUGUCUCGGUGAGCAAUCACUGUGGGCUAGGGGAGCAUUUAUUAGAUUCAAACCAUCGGAGCGUGCUCCAAGGGUCGCAAGACUCUUAUAUGGUGAGUCAUAAUAACUAAGCGAAUCGGAUUAACAAAACAGUCUUGCUUCGGUAAGACUGGAUCCGAUGCUUCAUUCAAAUUUCUGCCCUAUCAGCUGUCGAUGGUAGGAUCUUGGCCUACCAUGGCGAUCACGGGUAACGGGGAAUAAGGGUUCGAUUCCGGAGAGGGAGCUUGAGAAACGGCUACCACAUCCAAGGAAGGCAGCAGG